rnacentral:rRNA from 1 species
UACGUAGGGGGCUAGCGUUGUCCGGAUUUAUUGGGCGUAAAGAGCGUGUAGGCGGCCAGGUACGUCUGCUGUGAAAACUCGAGGCUCAACCUCGAGAUGUCGGCGGAAACCAUCUGGCUAGAGUCCGGAAGAGGAAAGUGGAAUUCCUGGUGUAGCGGUGAAAUGCGCAGAUAUCAGGAAGAACACCCGUGGCGAAGGCGGCUUUCUGGGACGGUACUGACGCUGAGACGCGAAAGCGUGGGGAGCGAACAGG